UACGAAGGGGGCUAGCGUUGUUCGGAAUCACUGGGCGUUAAGGGCGCGUAGGCGGCUAUUCAAGUCGGGGGUGAAAUCCCGUGGCUCAACCACGGAAUGGCCUUCGAUACUGGACGGCUCGAGACCGGAAGAGGUGAGUGGAACUGCGAGUGUAGAGGUGAAAUUCGUAGAUAUUCGCAAGAACACCAGUGGCGAAGGCGGCUCACUGGUCCGGUUCUGACGCUGAGGCGCGAAAGCGUGGGGAGCAAACAGG
rnacentral:rRNA from 1 species